rnacentral:rRNA from 1 species
GACGAACGCUGGCGGCGUGCCUAAUACAUGCAAGUAGAACGCUGAAGGAGGAGCUUGCUCUUCUGGAUGAGUUGCGAACGGGUGAGUAACGCGUAGGUAACCUGCCUGGUAGCGGGGGAUAACUAUUGGAAACGAUAGCUAAUACCGCAUAACAGUAGAUGUUGCAUGACAUUUGCUUAAAAGGUGCAAUUGCACCACUACCAGAUGGACCUGCGUUGUAUUAGCUAGUUGGUGGGGUAACGGCUCACCAAGGCGACGAUACAUAGCCGACCUGAGAGGGUGAUCGGCCACACUGGGACUGAGACACGGCCCAGACUCCUACGGGAGGCAGCAGUAGGGAAUCUUCGGCAAUGGACGGAAGUCUGACCGAGCAACGCCGGGUGAGUGAAGAAGGUUUUCGGAUCGUAAAGCUCUGUUGUAAGAGAAGAACGAGUGUGAGAGUGGAAAGUUCACACUGUGACGGUAUCUUACCAGAAAGGGACGGCUAACUACGUG